rnacentral:rRNA from 1 species
GCGAUUAGGUCGGGAACUCAAAGGAGACUGCCAGUGAUAAACUGGAGGAAGGUGGGGAUGACGUCAAGUCAUCAUGGCCCUUACGACCAGGGCUACACACGUGCUACAAUGGCGCAUACAAAGAGAAGCGACCUCGCGAGAGCAAGCGGACCUCAUAAAGUGCGUCGUAGUCCGGAUUGGAGUCUGCAACUCGACUCCAUGAAGUCGGAAUCGCUAGUAAUCGUGGAUCAGAAUGCCACGGUGAAUACGUUCCCGGGCCUUGUACACACCGCCCGUCACACCAUGGGAGUGGGUUGCAAAAGAAGUAGGUAGCUUAACCUUCGGGAGGGCGCUUACCACUUUGUGAUUCAUGACUGGGGUGAAGUCGUAACAAGGUAACCGUAGGGGAACCUGCGGUUGGAUCACCUCCUUA